rnacentral:lncRNA from 1 species
GCCGAUUUUUUCAAACCAUACUACAGAUAAUUUGGACUUUAUUUAUUAAUUUUUGUGUUUUAAUUACCACAUAUUAAAGGUUCAUGUAAUCUUUUACUUGUUCUUUUUUUUUAGCAUAAUGACACUUUAAACAAAUGUUUACAUAUCCCAUUACUUCACAGAAUCUCAUAGACCUGCAUUAUUAUUAAUACUAUAUUGUAUGGUCGAACCUAUGUUUAAAAAUAAUCAUACUGACAUAAUCAAAGAGCACACUAUCUUCAGCAGUGUUCAGAUAUGUGAUUUGUACAGUUGUACCAUAGACUGUACGUACAGCUGGUCCUGGAUCAGUACGUUCCCUCGUGAUCCCGGAACCGGAAACACGUUUGUUGUUACGGUAAAAUUAUCUUUUUAUUAACAAAAAAUCCAUUUUUAGCCUAUUUGUAUUUUUUUUAAAACUAUACCAACAUAUAACUGAAAAUAAAACCUGAUCAAUUGAAAAUGUGCAUUUUACUGUGGGUAUAUAAAAGCCGUCGGGACCACGUGACUUCCUUUUCGGACUAAGCUGAAAUCAUGGACGCCAGCCGCGUGCAGCCCAUCAAACUCGCUAGAGUUACUAAAGUGCUGGGAAGAACCGGCUCCCAGGGACAGUGUACCAGAGGCCAGGAGGCUUCGCUAGCAGUGCACGUGAAGACCGGCAGUGGCCGAAGCAGUACUUGUGGAGAGCAUCAACAUCAGCUCUACAGUAAAAUAAAGUGUCUUUGUGAAUAAGUUGGUCUCCUCCUCAAUUUGUUUUUAUUAUGAAUAAUGUUUAAUGUUAUCCUGAGUUUUACAAUUGCUAUGAAGUACUAAUAGCACGUUUCUCCAGUUUAAUGUGAGAUACAGUCAGGUCCAAACCAGAUCAAAGCAAUUACAUUUUGUGUACUCUAGAAUUUAGAUGUCAAGUGAUUUGAGUGUGUAUAGAGUGAGAUUUCAAACUAUGUAUCUGAUUCUGAAUCCCAACGAAAUAUCAACUGUAUUGGGCUUUAAACAGGGUAUCUGCAGGCCCUUAAAAAUUCUUAAAAUGUCUUAAAUUCAGAUUUGAUGGCUCUUAAAUAUUUUUGAUCACAUUACUGCUAAAAUAUCUGAAGUCUGAUGGACCUAUUGACUGUUUACAAUCAUUGGAAAGACCCCCGCGGUAGUUACUGCAUCAUCAGCGAGAAUGGCAGUAGCAGAAUACAGGUCGAACUACCUUCUUAAUUUACUCAAUAAUAGUAAUAAUAAUAUAGGUCGAGCUACAGCUGAUUAGCCUUGUAGCUAGUUUAAAUUUUUAUUUUAAUUUUUUUACCUUCCCGUCCGGAAAAAUAGCCUAAUUAAAACAUAAGUGACAAAAAAAUAACCAGCGAAGCAUCGAAAUGCGAGAAUGAUUCUUCUAAUUUUAUCAGCCUACUGUAAAUUCAGUGUAAACCGUGAUUGAUAAUGGAUAGUGUAUUUCAGAAUAAGUUGUUUACACCACCAAAAAUCUCGUGGUGCUUUUGUGGGGAUUUUGCAUGCAAUAUUGUCUGCUGAUAUGAAAAGUUUACAGUAUAUCUUAGUAAGAAAUAUAAUUUAUUACAGCGAUUAUUUAUAUUGUAGUAAAACUGACUUAAAAUGACUAAUUGCAUUAUAUUACAAGUGAGAAUAUAGAUGCUUGUUUUCCCAAAGGAAGCUGUGAGUAAAAAAAAAAAAAAAUGUAUCUGCCUUUUUUACUGACUCCUUUUUACAGUAAUAGUAUGAUGUGUUUGGGUGUAGCUGCAUGAAGUUUAAGAAUGAACAACGACUCAAACAUUUUAGUGUGUAUCAUCAGAAACUUCAAGUUUUACUACGUUUCUGUUGAUGGAUGGUCGCUGUUCAGUGGAUGUCCAUUAGAGGGCACUAUUAGUUGUAAGUAUGGACUGUUACUCAGUUUAGUUGGUGUGUAAAUCGAGCUGUCAAACUGUGAUCCCGCUAUAAGCACAUUUGCAGGUGUUUAGGUCAGAGGCUCAUGGUUUAUUUUGAUUACAGUUUUUGUCCACCCUGCUGUCUUAUAAAAUGAAACACUUGUGUGUAUGUGGGGAGGUGGGUGUUUUGGGCACUCUGGAGCAUCUGUGCUCACUGUCUUCACCUUUUACCUUCAAUGGCGCAACAUAUUUGAAUGUAAAUCCCAACAGCUGGUGUCUUUUAGUCAAUUAAACAUAUCAGUUUUCAUUUCAAAAGUCUCUUUGUAAAUAUUAAAAUGAAUUAGUAAAUAGAACACACGCUUUAUACUUUUUUAAAAUCUUUUUUUCUCUCUCUCUUUAAUUGCGCGUAUUGGGUUUAUCCAUGACGUACAAAUUAAGGGCGAAUCAAAUACAAUCCUUUGCUAAUAUUUGCACAAAGGCAAUAGCUGUUUAAGCCAAGCGUAGAAG